UUGGAAAAGGCAUGUGAUCAGCAUUCUGGAUCGUCACUUCCUACCCUUCAAUUGAGAAGACAGUAGUAGCAGGUUUCAGGGUCUAAAUAUCAGGGAGUAUUUUAGGACCAGGACUAUGGUGUACCGAACGCCUUAAGAAUUAUUAUGCUACCAGUUACCUGAAUCUCAGAGCAACUGUGACUUUAUAAGCCUUAACAUUCUG
rnacentral:lncRNA from 1 species